CAGUGUGAAACAUCCCCAGUUAAAAUUGGGAAUUCUUGCGACGUCUUCAACAAGGACGAAAUAUUUGGAGUCGACAUAAUCUUGUACCGUGGGUGCUAAAAUAAUGCCAAUAGCAUACAAAACAAACCGCCUGAUGAAAUGAUCAUCUGGAGUUUUGGAGGCUUUAAUUUUGUCCUCGAGGUCACUCAGCUUAAGUCUUCCAUCUGUUUGAUAAGCCCUUAACAGCUCUUCGCUAGCAGCACCAACAUAAUACGUCGGAGAGACACUGACUUCAUCUCUGUUAGCCCUCCAAGACCGGUUUGAGUGCAGAUGGCCUUUAGGUGCUCGUCAUCUAAUCCAUCAAUCAUUUGCGCGAACCUUAUCGGUGGAUGAAGAGGAAGCAGUACCGUCGUAUCGCACAGGCCAGGUGGGUGGUGGCCGCUGGCUCCGAUCCCCUGGGUGGUUGGGUGUGGCUGGCGGCUCCGAUCGCCCCGGUCAGGAGGGCGGCGUUGGCGUUCGAGCUGAAUGCGUGAAGUGUCCACGGAGAGAGUUCGACGCCGGCGACGAGCAUAGAGAGGCGGAUCACGAUGCUGUGGACGGAGCAAAAUUCAGAGAAAACCCAUAAGAUCUCAUGAUGGCUUCAUGCACAGAAACAAGCAGUGACGUCGUAUUCCGCAGGCCGGAUGGGCGGUCGCCGGCGGCUCCGUUCCCGUG